UAACGCGUGAGUAACCUGCCUUACACAAGGGGAUAGCCUCUGGAAACGGAGAAUAAUACCCUAUAAAACCAUCAAAUCGCAUGAAGUGAUGGUCAAAGUGUUAGCGGUGUAAGAUGGACUUGCGUCUGAUUAGCUAGUUGGUGAGAUAACAGCUCACCAAGGCAACAAUCAGUAGCCGGCUUGAGAGAGUGUACGGCCACAUUGGGACUGAGACACGGCCCAG
rnacentral:rRNA from 1 species